UCCGGAGGGUGCAAUCGUUGUUCGGAAUUACUGGGCGUAAAGGGCGUGUAGGUGGUUGACUAAGUCAGGUGUGAAAGCCCUCAGCUCAACUGAGGAAGCGCAUCUGAAACUGGUUAACUUGAGUACGGGAGAGGAGAGUGGAAUUCCUGGUGUAGAGGUGAAAUUCGUAGAUAUCAGGAGGAACAUCGGUGGCGAAGGCGACUCUCUGGACCGAUACUGACACUGAGACGCGAAAGCGUGGGGAGAAAACAGG
rnacentral:rRNA from 1 species